UACGUAGGGUGCGAGCGUUAAUCGGAAUUACUGGGCGUAAAGCGUGCGCAGGCGGUUUUGUAAGCCAGAUGUGAAAUCCCCGGGCUUAACCUGGGAAUGGCAUUUGGGACUGCAAGGCUCGAGUGCGGCAGAGGAGACUGGAAUUCCUGGUGUAGCAGUGAAAUGCGUAGAGAUCGGGAGGAACACCAGUGGCGAAGGCGGCCAUCUGGCUCAACAUUGACGCUGAGGCACGAAAGCGUGGGGAGCAAACAGG
rnacentral:rRNA from 1 species